rnacentral:rRNA from 1 species
ACGCUCGACACCUACGGAGGCAGCAGUAGGGAAUCUUCCACAAUGGACGCAAGUCUGAUGGAGCAACGCCGCGUGAGUGAAGAAGGUUUUCGGAUCGUAAAGCUCUGUUGUUGGUGAAGAAGGGUAGAGGUAGUAACUGGCCUUUAUUUGACGGUAAUCAACCGGAAAGUCACGGCUAACUACGUGCCAGCAGCCGCGGUAAUCUGAGCGGGCUGGCAAGGC